rnacentral:rRNA from 1 species
CCUACGGGAGGCAGCAGUGGGGAAUCUUGCGCAAUGGGCGAAAGCCUGACGCAGCCAUGCCGCGUGAAUGAUGAAGGUCUUAGGAUUGUAAAAUUCUUUCACCGGGGACGAUAAUGACGGUACCCGGAGAAGAAGCCCCGGCUAACUUCGUGCCAGCAGCCGCGGUAAUACGAAGGGGGCUAGCGUUGCUCGGAAUUACUGGGCGUAAAGGGAGCGUAGGCGGAUAGUUUAGUCAGAGGUGAAAGCCCAGGGCUCAACCUUGGAAUUGCCUUUGAUACUGGCUAUCUUGAGUUUGGGAGAGGUGAGUGGAACUCCGAGUGUAGAGGUGAAAUUCGUAGAUAUUCGGAAGAACACCAGUGGCGAAGGCGACUCACUGGCCCAAUACUGACGCUGAGGCUCGAAAGCGUGGGGAGCAAACAGGAUUAGAUACCCUGGUAGUCCACGCCGUAAACGAUGAGUGCUAGUUGUCGGCAUGCAUGCAUGUCGGUGACGCAGCUACGACAUAAGACACUCCGCCGUGGGGAGGUACGGUCGCGAGAAUUAAACUACAAUAGAAGUUAGACGGCGUGAGACGUGCCGACGGACGACGACGAGGGAGGUUAGG